rnacentral:misc_RNA from 1 species
UGAUUGCAGGCCAUAUCUGCAGAAAGACAACCAAUAAUUGCACCGUGCAGACCAAGCCCGCAGCACGCAUUAUUUACAUCUUCGAAUCCGUAUUGUAGUGGAUUGGUCAUGAUCUCCAUAAUUCCUUGGUAUACAUCACAGAAGAUGAUCUGAGCAUCAGACAACUCUGUUUUUAGCUCCAUAAUAUGCUCAUCCAGUAUUAUGUUG